rnacentral:rRNA from 1 species
GAACGCGAAGAACCUUACCAGGUCUUGACAUCCCUCUGACCGCUCUAGAGAUAGAGUUUUCCUUCGGGACAGAGGUGACAGGUGGUGCAUGGUUGUCGUCAGCUCGUGUCGUGAGAUGUUGGGUUAAGUCCCGCAACGAGCGCAACCCCUAUUGUUAGUUGCCAUCAUUCAGUUGGGCACUCUAGCGAGACUGCCGGUAAUAAACCGGAGGAAGGUGGGGAUGACGUCAAAUCAUCAUGCCCCUUAUGACCUGGGCUACACACGUGCUACAAUGGCUGGUACAACGAGUCGCAAGUCGGUGACGGCAAGCUAAUCUCUUAAAGCCAGUCUCAGUUCGGAUUGUAGGCUGCAACUCGCCUACAUGAAGUCGGAAUCGCUAGUAAUCGCGGAUCAGCACGCCGCGGUGAAUACGUUCCCGGGUCUUGUACACACC